GACGAACGCUGGCGGCGUGCUUAACACAUGCAAGUCGAACGGAAAGGCCCUGCUUUUGUGGGGUGCUCGAGUGGCGAACGGGUGAGUAACACGUGAGUAACCUGCCCUUGACUUUGGGAUAACUUCAGGAAACUGGGGCUAAUACCGGAUAGGAGCUCCUGAUGCAUGGUGGGGGUUGGAAAGUUUCGGCGGUUGGGGAUGGACUCGCGGCUUAUGGGCUUGUUGGUGGGGUAGUGGUUUACCAAGGCUUUGACGGGUAGCCGGCCUGAGCGGGUGAACAGGGACAAGAGUACUGAGGGACGGCGCAGACGGCAACGGUAGGCAGCAGGGGGAAGUAUGACACAGCGGGGGGGAGCGUGAUGCAACAGCGCCGCGAGCGGGAAGACCUCCUACGGGUUGAAAACCGCUGUCGCCGGAAACGAAGCGUGAUUGACGGUAAUGAAUAAAGAAGCACCGGCUAACUACGUG
rnacentral:rRNA from 1 species